rnacentral:rRNA from 1 species
GCAUACACUGGCCACCCUGAACGUGCCCAGUCUCAUCUGAUCUCAGAAGCUAAGCAAGGUCGCGGCUGGUUAGUACUUGGAUGAGAGACCACCUAGAAGGAAUACCAGGUACUAUAGGCA